CCAUUUCAUGCCGGUUUUAUCUUCCUGUGGUUCUCUUCGUGCUUCCUGUAGAAAAUGGAGUCUGUCUGCAGCGUGUACACAGCUGGUUGGAAGACAAGACCUCCAGAUUAUCUGCCGGGCCUGCUGAUGCACUCAUUUCUGCGAGGCUGUACUGCAGAGUGCUGACCUGCCUACCUCACACCAACGGCCCUGAAAGAGCUGGCUUUUCCUCCAUGGCCUCUGGAUCAAUAGUGACUGCUCCCUGGGUAUGGGUCAGUGUUUUGCAGGUUUCACCUCUUUCCACUAACAUUUCAGCUCUUGUAUUACGGAGCACCAUUCAACAUCCAGUCCAAGUUCAAAUGCUGAAAGCUAUGGCAUGCCUUAUUUGUGGACUAUUCCAUAGGCCCUCAGUCCUUACCUAGCUGAUCCAAGGUGUUGUAAUACAAGGAGAGUUGAGGGUUAACUCUCCCCGUCGAAACAGACCACCUCAGCCAAGUGAAAAAUGAGAAAUGAGCAGGGCAAGCUCUCAGGCCCAGUUGCCCAGUUCCCAAAAUUAACAUUUCAAUUCAAAACCAAUAAUAACGCAUUGUGUCUGGCAUGAAUGAGUGCUGCUGCAAAGGGAAGGCGAUACCUCCUGUUCCUGUGUCAAUGAAAAAGCUCCUUCAUCUUCUGCUAAAGGGCCCACACAGUCUGAGGUCAGCCAGUCAGCCUUGGUUACACUGCACAGGCAUGCCUGGGUGGACGGCUCGAGCUUCCCGGUGCCUUUACAAAAGCCAGGAACUACAAACACACACACACACACAUACACUCCUAUACACACAUGCAUAAAUAGACAUACACAUAAACACUCAUGUCAUGCUCUGCAUGAGGUUGAUGGCUCUCAAGUUUUGCCAAGGACUACUUAACAUGUUGAAAGAGUCCGCAUUGUGUUCUUUGAAAUGACUUGCAGUAACUAAUUGCAAUAUCAUAUAACGAUUUCAGCUGCGGCUGCAUGUUAUGGUUUGAAAAAAUAAUUAUUGUAUUAGGGUUAAUAACCUCUACAUGUGUAUUCUACUUGUUUUUCCUUCCACUGGUUUGUUCGAGCUCCAUUUGUAUAGUUGUGACACCUUAUCUGCAUAAUUUUCAGUUAAAACUUGCUAUAUCUCGAGUGUACAUACUGUAUGCCUCUGUCCAUGUCAAACACUCUGACCUGCUCAUUGACAGGAGGUCUCAGGCAGUCAGAAAGGGCCACAGAUGGACACACUUUGUCGGGAGGGUUUUGGGCAUCUUGGCUUUUGAGAGUGGAAUUGGGAGCCAGCCUCUGUGGCUGCCAAGAAGGUGUCAGGGCCGAUCUCUGCUACAUGCUCCCCUCCAUCAGAGAGCACAUUACCAGUCUGCAAGCAUGUUAAUGACACAAAACCCACUGUUAUUGUGCAUUUUUGUGAAAUGCCUUGUCUGGCAAAGGCAGCGUCUUUUGGCUGGCAGUGAUGACAUCAGUGCUCCCAGCGAAGAGGCCAGCUCCACUAAUAAGGCGCUGCUGGGAUUGCCGCCCGCUUAGGUUGUCAAUGAGUCUGUCUUGAUCUGAGGAUUAGGCCAGUCGUUCCAAUUACAGCCUGGUGCCUUGAGGUUUGUCAAGCAUUGACACAGACGCCUGUCGAUGGCCCCGGUGCAUAUUCCAGGACCCCGCUGAGUGACAGGCGCCGGCGCGCCAAGAGACGAUGACACGCCAUGAGUGUGUGUGUGUGUGUGUGUGUGUGUGUGGCAUAUGUUGUGUGUGUAUGUGUGUCUGUACAUUCCAUAUCAUUAGUUUCUUAACUAUGUCCUAGCUCUCAGCUGAAAUGAACCUGCCCUACUGUAAAUAUACUGUGAAGCACAAGUGUGUAGUGUCUCAUUUCCAUGAUGAAGAUACUGACUCUUAAUGACAGUCUAUUCUACAGACACGGUGGAGGAAGAAUACUAGCAUGAGACUGGUGAUGUAUCAGUUAGCUGUCAACCGUGGAUGUGAGGAAGUCAUGUAUCCUGGCUGCUGGUCUGUUAUAAAGAGUAUUGAUAAUUUAAUGCAAUACAGAAAAGAAAGAGGCUUGGCUCUUGGAUCACUCUAUGGAUCUUGGCCAAGCAAAAAUAUAAAUAAAAGGGGACCUCCACCCUGACCAUCUCUUACAUUGUCAUCAUCAAUCUAUAAUGUAUUCCGGGAAAUAUUUUGUGAAUAGUUUGGUUUGUUUUUUGUUCAACCUUCCUCAUCUAAAUUUACUUAGGUCUGUAAUCUCCUACAUUAGAAUAUAUAGUUUCGGGAACAGUUUUUCAAGAAAUAAACAGAUUUGAAAUGUGAUCAAAAUAAAACCACCACAAAUAAAAAUAGGAGACGGGGCUUGACAAUCUUUCUGGAAAAUAGAGAGGGUAUUUGUGUCUGUUUCUCCUCUAUGAUAAACUGUAGUUUUGAUGUUUCUU
rnacentral:lncRNA from 15 species